rnacentral:snoRNA from 13 species
GCCUUGUGGUUCCUAGAGUCAGCUUGUUCCUCGGUGCUGAACUGUGGGGUUUUGUCAACAGGCGCACAUUAGUUCUGUGAUAUUAAGCAUGGGAGCUGCCACCAUAGCAGCCUCCCACAGCCCGGUCGCAGAUACACGC